UACGGAGGGGGCAACCGUUGCUCGGAAUCAUUGGGCGUAAAGCGCACGUAGGCGGUCCGUUAAGUCGGGUGUGAAAUCCCUCGGCUCAACCGAGGAAGUGCAUUCGAAACUGGCGGACUUGAGUAUGGAAGAGGGUCGUGGAAUUCCCGGUGUAGAGGUGAAAUUCGUAGAUAUCGGGAGGAACACCAGUGGCGAAGGCGGCGAUCUGGGUGGAUACUGACGCUGAGGUGCGAAAGCGUGGGGAGCAAACAGG
rnacentral:rRNA from 1 species